UACGUAGGGUGCAAGCGUUGUCCGGAAUUAUUGGGCGUAAAGAGCUCGUAGGCGGUUCGUCGCGUCGGCUGUGAAAACCCGGAGCUCAACUCCGGGCCUGCAGUCGAUACGGGCGGACUCGAGUUCGGCAGGGGAGAGUGGAAUUCCUGGUGUAGCGGGUGAAAUGCGCAGAUAUCAGGAGGAACACCGGUGGCGAAGGCGGGUCUCUGGCCGAUACUGACGCUGAGGAGCGAAAGCGUGGGGAGCGAACAGG
rnacentral:rRNA from 1 species